AGAGUUUGAUUCUGGCUCAGAACGAACGCUGGCAGCGUGGAUUAGGCAUGCAAGACGAACGUGAAGCCGACGAUCAAUCUUUCGAGAGAGUGAAUCGGUGGAAAGUGGCGGAAGGGUGAGUAACGCGUGGGUAACCUACCCCCGGGCUGGGGAUAACUCAGCGAAAGCGGGGCUAAUACCGAAUGUGAUCCCCCGGCGCCUGUCGGGGUGAUUAAAGGCGGGGACCCUUCGGGGCCUGCCGUCCGGGGAGGGGCCCGCGUCCUAUCAGCUUGUUGGUGAGGUAACGGCUCACCAAGGCUUACGGGUAGCUGGUCUGAGAGGAUGGUCAGCCACACUGGGACUGAGACACUGCCCAGACUCCUACGGGAGGCUGCAGUCGAGGAUCAUUCGCAAUGCGCGAAAGCGUGACGAUGCGACGCUGCGUGGAGGAUGACGGCCUUCGGGUUGUAAACUCCUGUCAUCUGGGAGCAACGGGCCGGUUCCUAAUAGGGGCCGGAUUUGAUAGUACCAGAAGAGGAAGCCACGGCCAACUCUGUGCCAGCAGCCGCGGUAAGACAGAGGUGGCAAGCGUUGUUCGGAUUUACUGGGCGUAAAGCGUGCGUAGGUGGUUUCGUGUGUCGGGUGUGAAAGCUCAUCGCUCAACGGUGAAAUUGCAUUCGAAACUGCAGGACUAGAGUGUGGGAGAGGAGAGCGGAAUUCAUGGUGUAGCGGUGAAAUGCGUUGAUAUCAUGAAGAACACCGGUGGCGAAGGCGGCUCUCUGGAACACAACUGACACUGAGGCACGAAAGCGUGGGGAGCGAACAGGAUUAGAUACCCUGGUAGUCCACGCCGUAAAUGGUGCGCACUUGGUGUGGGGAGUAUUGACCCUCUCCGUGCCGGAGCUAACGCGUUAAGUGCGCCGCCUGGGGAGUACGGCCGCAAGGCUAAAACUCAAAGAAAUUGACGGGGGCCCGCACAAGCGGAGGAGCAUGUGGCUUAAUUCGAUGCAACGCGAAGAACCUUACCAGGGCUUGACAUGCAGCUGCAUGCCCCCUGAAAGGGGGGAGGCCUUCGAGGGUGCUGCACAGGUGGUGCAUGGCUGUCGUCAGUUCGUGCCGUGAGGUGUUGGGGUAAGUCCCGCAACGAACGCAACCCCUGUGUCUAGUUGCCACCGCGGGUGAUGAGCCCGCGAGCACUCUAGAUGUACUGCCCGUGUAAGCGGGAGGAAGGUGGGGAUGACGUCAAGUCAGUAUGUCCCUUAUGCCCUGGGCUGCACACGUGCUACAAUGGCUGGUACAAUGCGAAGCAAUACCGCGAGGUGGAGCAAAUCGUCAAAACCGGCCCCAGUUCGGAUUGGAGUCUGCAACUCGACUCCAUGAAGUCGGAUUCGCUAGUAAAGGCGUAUCAGCUACGACGCCUUGAAUACGUUCCCGGGCCUUGUACACACCGCCCGUCACAUCAUGAAAGCCGUCUGCACCCGAAGUCGCUGGUCCAAUUCCGUUUCGGCGGAAAGGAAGGUGCCGAAGGUGUGGGUGGUGAUUGGGAUGAAGUCGUAACAAGGUA
rnacentral:rRNA from 1 species